rnacentral:rRNA from 1 species
AUGGACACCGGCGCCACGGAUCACAUGACGAAUGAGCUCAACAAACUCUCCACCUACCAGCCCUACUACGGGCAAUAUCAGGUUCACACCGCCAAUGGUGUAGGUAUGCCCAUCUCUCAUAUUGGCCAAGCAUCUCUUUUAACUAGUCAUCCCUCUAGGCAGCUCCAUCUUCGUAAUGUUUUACAGGAUCGAGCAACCCGGGACGUUCUGCUUAGUGGCCGGUUGAGCCAAGGCUUGUACCGUUUGGAGGAUCCAUCCGCCCCGUACGUCUUCAGCGGUGUUCAUGUGUCGCCUUCCCAGUGGCACUCUCGCUUUGGUCACCCCGCCACACCCAUCGUUCGCCACAUAAUCCACCGUCAUGAGCUGCCAUUAGUGUCUAGCAAUAAAGAGAUGUCCGUGUGUGAUGCCUGUCAGCAAGGCAAGAUUCAUCAGCUAUCUUUUGUUUCAUCUACUAGAGAAGUAAAGAACCCUCUUGAAAUUGUGUUUUCUGAUGUGUGGGGUCCGGCAAAAACAUCUGUUAGUGGUCACAACUAUUAUGUCAGUUUUGUUGAUGCCUAUAGUCGCUUCACUUGGCUUUAUCUUCUUAAGCGCAAAUCUGAUGUGUUUGAUAUAUUCAUACAGUUUCAAUUGCAUGUUGAACGUCUACUCAAGCAUAAAAUUAUCCAU